rnacentral:lncRNA from 1 species
AUCUCACUAACCUUCAGCAGGGACAACAUACGAUGACAGGUUUCAGCAGCCGGAACAAUGGUAGCACCAGGCAGACCAGCAGUUUAGAUAGCUACAUCAGAGACAGCAGCACAUGCAGACUGGAUUGGAGUACCUGAUGGAGCGGAUGGGGUACCAACCACUGCCUCCACCAUAGUAUUGAGCUAAGCAACAUGCAGCUUGGGGGAGAGCCCCCGCGAGGUGAGCACCUUUUCACUGCUGUAAAUAUUCUAUCUUCAGUAUUUACUUUCCAACAUUUAAUUUCUAUCAUUAAAUUGGAGUAAUUAGAAUUUGCCUUUAAUUCUGCUACUUAUUCAAAAAAAGAAAAAAAGAGAGAAGAAGAGCAAUCAAAAUCUACAAUCACUUAGUACUAGAAUUUAAAAUUCUCUUUUCAAUUAUAUGAAGUUUAUCUACCUGGAUAAUUUAUUCUAAGAACUGAUAUCUGUGGGUAGCAUAAAACUUGUGAUUCAAUCUAAGUAAUUGGCAGAUAUGAUAUAAAAAGGUUUGAGCUAGUAUAUGUUUAUUCUAAGUGAUAGCUAAGCUCCAGAUAUUUUGCAAGAAUUAAAUCAAUCAAUCUGAUAAUUCAUCUU